UACGGAGGGGGUUAGCGUUGUUCGGAAUUACUGGGCGUAAAGCGCGCGUAGGCGGACUGGAAAGUUGGGGGUGAAAUCCCGGGGCUCAACCCCGGAACGGCCUCCAAAACUAUCAGUCUAGAGUUCGAGAGAGGUGAGCGGAAUUCCGAGUGUAGAGGUGAAAUUCGUAGAUAUUCGGAGGAACACCAGUGGCGAAGGCGGCUCACUGGCUCGAUACCGACGCUGAGGUGCGAAAGUGUGGGGAGCAAACAGG
rnacentral:rRNA from 1 species